AAACCAUGAUAAAAGCACCUUAUUUGCAACUUCUUUGACUUUUUCCAAGCUUCAUAAAGUGAUUCGUCAUCCUUUUGGUAAAAACUAGGAAUCUAUUGUAUGAUUUU
rfam:Ricinus communis cultivar Hale ctg_1100012350815, whole genome shotgun sequence.